GUAUCUUCUAGAUUACAGCAUCUUUCCUUCCAAGUUCCAACUUCGUCAGUCUUUCAUCUUCCAUAUCUCAGGACCACUUCCCUGGUUGUAUUCAUGAGCAGCACAAUGAUCUGUUCCACUGUACCCUAUAAGUUGUUCUCUUGUAUCUUCUAAUAAUUUUAUGAAUGCUCUUGAUACAAUGAGAUCUCUGUGACCUGGAGGAAAACCCUCUUCUAAUCAUGCUGGCGCCCCAGUCUCAAAUUUCCAGCCUCGAGAAAUGUGCACAAUAAAUUUCUCCUUAUAAACAGCAAUUUAUAAUACUUAUAAUAUACAUUUGUAUUUAUUGUCUAUUUGUAAUAAAUUUAUAUUUAUUAUAAAAUAUAAUGUAUAACUUAUAAUACAUCUAUAAUUUAUAACAAAUGCUGUGUUAUUUUGUUAUAGCAGCCCAAACCAAGACAGGUUUUCAGAGUAACAAUCUUUUAAUGAUACUGUGAGAGGUUUACCUUUUACCCUGACAAAUCUUUUAUCUUUUAAAAAGCUUCAUAUUAUUUUUUCCAGUUUCAUUGAGAUAUAAUUAACUACCUUUUUUAUUCAGACCCUGUGAUUGAAUUAAGCAUUUUCAGCGUUCCUUACUUUUUUGUGCCCUCCCAUAUUCUAACUGUAAGUUAGAUGCCUUCUCAAGCUUUGCUUCAAACAUUUGAGAUGCUGUCCUUGUCUCCACUCUUGCCAGUUUUCUCCUGAAUUCUUCAGUUGCUCGGUUUAACAACAAAAGCUCAUGUUGAGCAUUACACACGGCAUGGGAGAACUGCUGAAGAAUUUUCUCAGAAGCACAAUUCCUGGGCUCAUAUGCUUCAGUCUCUUGCUGUUCCUUCUUUUCUCUCCUUUUCUAUUUUGUAGUUAAUUUGCUUCCCAAAGUAUUUCCAGUGUUCCAAUCUUUGCCUUUUCAAGGCACAGAAUUAGAACCACAGUCAUUCUCCAUUUGUAAUAGGACAAAACAGGAAUUGGUGGUGGGAACAGUACUAAGUGCCUCAGAGGCCAUUGUAAAGAUUUUUCUUUUGAAAUAAUUCUGUCAAGAAGUCAUUCAUGAAUAAAAGCCAUAUUUCACCCAGAGGCUAAGUUAGAUGCUCCAAAAUGUAUUCUUCCAACAUACACAGACAACAAUAUAGGGCUGGGUGAGAUCUAACUCUGAGAAGAGUAGAGGCCCCUAAAACCUGUCACUCAAGGGCCCUGUGGCUGGGUUUGCCCUGGCGGGUCUCUGUGCUGCAGCCAUGGCCCAGGUGCCAGGGCGUGCGGUCUGAUUCAGGUCCCCCAGGCUGAAUCCCCAAAAGCCAGCUGGCAGAGCAGAUACACUGCUUUAGGAGCUCUGGAGUCAGCACCUGCCUACGUUGUCCUUUAUGACCCAGCCUCAAGAAGUCAUAUGCUUUCAUUUCCAACUACAGACAGGCUCAACAAGAUUCAAGAGGAGGGAACUGGCUUUCUCUCCUCCUCAAAGUCAUACUGAAAGAACAUGUGUGAGAUGGGGAGAUCUUGUGAUUAUUUGGAAAAAAUAAGCAGCCACAACACUCUUGCCAGAAGCAAGUGUGUGGGAGAUACAAUUUUUCUGCCCUUGAUUUUGGAUUUGACCAUGUGACUUGCCUUGGCCAAGGAGCCAGCUUCCAUCUGGGAAUUUCUUGCGAUUCUUGCCUUAGAACCUCGAGCUGCAAAGAUGUCUGAGGCUAGCAUGCUAGUGAAGACAACCAGACUAGACCCAUGGAAAGACCACAUGGAGAAACUCUGGUUUACAUGGAAUAAGAGAGAUGUCCAGCCAGCUCCCAGUUGCUUCUGGAACUCCACACUGUUCCGGGUUCAACUAUCAUGAAAAACCUGAACUGUCCAGCCAGUCUGUUUCUGAACUCCUGACCCAGAGGAACAAUGGAAGAUAAUAAAUGAUAGCUGGUGUUUAAAACCAUUAAACUAGAGAGACUGAAUGUAAAGAUAAUUCCAGCUCAUACAUGACACAUGACAAAGAACUCUGACCCAGAAACUCUGCAGCAGCCAACUGAUUUUCAGGAAGAAAACCGAGCUACAACCUUGGCAGCAAUCAGCUCACAACACUCAGGACUUGGUCGGUGAUGGCCAGCUUCCCUAUUUUUUUUUGCCUCUGCUUCCAGUUCAGGACCAACCAGGGAAAGCCAUACCAAUCCCCAAAUCAGUCACAUACGAUGCACUGCUCCUAGUUAAGCCUGCUUUCAGCUUCUCUAUGCCAGUGACCUCCGAUCAGAGUAUGCCUAGAGACGGCCCUUUUUCACUCCUGCUCUCCUGAAUACCUUUGAGUCUUGUCAAACACAAGUGAUGGUGGCUGUAACGCCAGUAAUUUUAAACAACCCAAAAAUAACAAGAAAGGACAUUAAUUACAUAAAUAACAUGUAAAAGUAAGAAAUAUUGUGGGAAGAACACUUAAUGUUCAACAACGAUUUGGUUUUAAAUGCAGCUUAGGAAAACAUAUUUAUAUGAAAUGAUAUAAGCUUAAAUAUAGCUAUGUCUGAAUGGAGAAAUUAUGGUUUUGCUCUUUCCUGAUGGUGGACGGCGCAUGGAGGACUUAGUGUUUUGGGGUUUGGGCGCCUGGCCUCUGCAAACGGGAUGCUCCCAGGCACCGGCACCUCUCUGCUUGCGGGCGGCACAGGAGGGCAGAGCAGGUCUUCCGCUGGACUGCGAUCUGGGAAGGCACCGUGGUGGCUUGGGGCCUGAGACAUACACGCGCACAUCUGGAAAGGUGAAGGGAUAUUGGAAGAGAUUCUAGAAGCAUGUGUGACUAUUUAAGAGAAAUCUUUUAAUAUCUGCACCAUGAUAGGUCCUGGAGGUGCCUUGCGGUGGGGCUUUGGGAGAUGUAGUUAGCAGGAAGCUGUGGAUAUUAAAGGAAAGAAAAGGUAAGAUCCCUCCCAAUUCAACAAUCCAAGAUAAAGUCCUGAAUGCCUCCAUGGCUAUUUAAUAUCCAGAAGCCAGGCCCUCACCUCUAUCAAGGCUACAGGCCUAUGGGUACCAGUGAGGUUAAUAUAGUAAAAAUUGGUAAAGGGAAACCUCACAGACAUGGUGUCUGGAGGCCUGCAGGGGGCGCUCCCAUGCCCAUCACUCCCGGUCAAUUGCAGACCCCUCAAGGAGGAGGACCCUUGUAACUCUACAAUUUUGGCUACUUCACCACCCAGGAGGAGGAGGCAAAAGUUCCUGCCUCCAGCAAUAGCCCAGCUAAUGAGCAACUGUUACAACUCUGCUAAUUAACAGCUACAACACAUGGGACUCCCAGUAUCCUCCAAUGGACUUCUUACUUGGAACACUCCCCAUUCUCUUCUAUAAAAGCCUCCUCCUUUCCUUUGUUCUCUAGACUGCCUAUGGCUUUGCCAUAGUUUGCUUUUUUUGAUUUGCAAUUCUCUUUUCCUCAACAGACCCAUUUUACUGGUAAAAUAACUGAUGGCUUUAUUUUUAUUUUGUUAUUAUAGUAUUGGCAAUAAAGAAUCUUAUAUUGGUUUCAAAUGUACAACACAGUGGUUCAGCAGUUACCCAUAUUAAAUCUCCACCCCCUCUAGUGUGGUUACUAUCAACAUAGAAAAAUGUUACAGAAUCAUUGACUAUAUUCUCUAUGCUGUACUACCGUCCCCAUGACCACCUUAUAUUGUGAUUGUGAAUUAUUGGGCCCCUUUAUUUCCCUCCCAUUCCCCUACCACCCAUGCCAACCCCUCCCACUGGUAACCACUAAUGACUUUUUAGUGUCUGAGUCUAAAGCUGUUUUGUUCUGUUUAUAUAUUCCACAAGUAAGUGAAAUCAUAUAGUAUUUGUCUUUGUCUGCCUGGCUUAUUUCACUGAAGAGAAUACCUUCUAGCUCCAUCCGUUGUGGCAAAUGGCAGGAUUUAUUUUCUUUUUAUGGCUGUGUAUAUGAACCACAUCUUCUUUAUCUAUUAUUCAUCUAUUGAUGGACACUUAAGUUGCUUCUGUAUUUUGGCUAUUGCAAAUAGUACAGUGAUUAACAUAGGGGUGCAUGUAUCUUUUCAAAUCAGGGAUUGUUUUCUUUGGGUAAAUUCCUGGAUUACACUGGGUCAAAUGGUACUUCUAUUUUUAAUUUUUUGAGGAACCUCCAUAUUGCUUUCCACAGCAAUUGCACCAAUUUACAUCCCUGCCCACAGUGUAGGAGGGUUCCCCUUUCUCCAUAUCCUGCCAGCAUUUGUUAUUUUUCAUUCAUUCUGACUGGUGUAAGGUCAUAUCUCAUUGCGGUUUUGACUUGUAUUUCCCUGAUGAUUAGAGCUGUGGAGCAUCUUUUCAUGUGCCUCUUGGCCCUCUGUAUUUCCUCUUUGGAGAAAUGUCUAUUCAGGACCUCCACCCAUUUUUUAAUCAGGUUUUUUUUUUGUUUCUUGAGGCAUAUAAGUCUUUAUAUAUUUGGAUGUUAACCCUUCAUCAUAUGAGUCUGUUACAAGUAUGUUCUCCCAUACUGUAGGGUUGCCUUUUUGUUCUGCUGGUCCUUUGGUGUAUUCCCACUUGUUCGUUUUUUAUUUUGUUUCCCAAGCCCAAGGAGAUGUGUCCAGGAAAAAAUUGCUCAUGCUCAUGUUCAAAAGAUUUUUGCCUAUGUUUUCUUCUAAGUUUUAUGGUUUCUUGACUUAGAUUCAUGUCUUUGAUCCAUAUCGAGUUUACUUUUGUGCAUGGAGUUAAGACAAUAGUCCAGUUUCAUUCUCUUGCAUGUAGCUUUCCAGUUUUCCCAACACAAGCUGUUGUAGAGGUUGUUUUUUCCCCCAUUGUAUAUUCAUGGCUCCUUUAUCCCAUAUAAUUGAACAAAUAUAUGUUGGUUUAUAUCUGGGCUCUCUAUUCUGUUCCAUUGAUCUAUGGGUCUCUUCUUGUGCCGGUACCAAACUGUUUUGAUUACUGUAGCUUUGUAGUAGAGUUUGAAGUUGGGGAGUGUCAUAACCCCAGAUGUUCCUGUUUCUAAGGAUUGCUUUGGCUAUUUAUGGUCUUUUGCAGUUACAUAUGAGUUUUAGAACUAUUCUAGUUCAUUUAAAAGUGCUGUUGAUAUUUUGAUAGGUAUUGCAUUGAAUCUGUAAUUUGCUUUGGAAAGGAUGGUCAUUUUGACAAUAUUAAUUCUUCCUAUCCAUGAGCACAGGUUACUUUUCCAUUUACUGAUGUCUUCUUUAAUUUGUCUCAUGAGUGUCUUAUGGUUUCACACUAUAGGUCUUUCACCUCCUUGGUUAGGUUCCUAGUUAUUUUAUUCUUUUUGAUGCACUUGUAAAUGGAGUUGUUUUCCUAUUUCUUUUUCUGCUAGUUCAUUGUUAGUAUGUAGGAAAGCAACAGAUUUCUGUGUAUUAAUUUUAUGUCCUGAAAACUCUGCUGAAUUCAGUUAUUCUAGUAGUUUUUCGGUGGAGUUUUUAGGGUUUUCUAUGUAUAAUAUGACUGUUACCAGCCAGAAUGCUGUUUUUCCCAGGAUCAUAUCUCAGAGGCAACGAAGAAUGAAGCCAGCAGACAAAGAGUAUGGAGUAACCAGCACAGCUCUUUUAAUGAGUGAAAAGAGGAAGUUCCUGCUAAUCAGUAGGGGCUGGAAGAGAGGAUGCCCUCAGGGCUGUGGUGUCUGGGGUUUAUAUUGCCUCCGGCCAGGAUGAAGUCCUACUCCCCACCUCCAAUCCCCAAUAGAGAACUGAACUAAUGACAUCACAGCUCAUUCCUGUUUGGGUGAAAGCACAAUGCUUAAUUUGCACAGGAAAUAACAGUCAGAACAGCUGAGGUCUAUCUAAGUAUACUUUUGGAUGGCUGAAUUGGAUUGUGGCAUGUUUUUGUUUUUGUUUUUGAAACUUACAAGGGUUUUUAAACUUCCUGAAAUUUACAAGGGCCCUGAACUUUGCCUGUGUCCUACUAUCACCUGCCUCACUCAAUAAAGAGUGACUGUUUAGCUUCUUCCUUACAGAUUUCAGUGCCUUUUAAAAUGAUGUUUUGUCUGAUUGCUGUGGCUAGGCCCUCCAGUACAAUGUUGAAUAAAAGUGGUGAGAAUGGACAUUCUUGUCUUUUUCCUAAUCUUAGAGGAAAAGCUUUUAGCUUUUUGCUAUUAAUAGUAUCUGACAGCUUUAUUUUUAAGUUUAGCAAUAUAGUAUCAGAUCUGUUUAUGCCUUUUCUUAGAGAGAACUUUGGAAAAUUUAAGGAGGCACCUAAAAAACCUCAUUAGUGAAGAUAAAUACUUUAAUGUAUUAUUUUUAAAAAUCAAAAUUAACUGCAAAAAAAUCCAUGAACAAAACUGUAAAAUUAUGCAUCCUUUUUACACCUCCCCCCAUCAACACUACAAGGUAAAUUACCUCCAAAGAGCAACUGUCCCGCAGUCUCCAAUAAAAACCCCAGGGAUUCUGGAUCAGGCCUUGGGUCCUCACCAUGCUAUUACUACCACUGGGGUACCUUUUGCUAUUUGCCCCAAGUUCAGCCUCUCUCCCCACUAAAUCCUGGGACACUAGACCAGAACCACUCUCACCACCAUGCAGGAAUUGGUCCAAGCCAAUCCCACUCUCCCCAAAAACAGCCUUUGUGGUCCCUGUCCAUACUGGCACGUCCUCCUACCCUCCAGGAUGCAAGCUGGGUGUGGCUUCCAGCCGGGAGUCCCAGCCCAACAUCUCCCUGCUUCCCCUUUCCUCACGUGCUUUGCCCAGAGCCAUGCCCACUUCCCCCAGAUCAGGAUCCCUGGCACAUCCAGACUCUGGUUUCCGCUGUGGGAAGGGCACACAGGGUCUAGACUUGACCUGGGUGAGCCU